CCACGCUUGCGUAGGCGGGUACUAAGCAGUUGGGUUGUCAUUACCCGAGCCCACGCGUAGGCGUGGAAGCGAGGGUAAAGCAGUCGUCCUGUCAGUGUGUGUGUCCAAGCCAAAUCUGUUUUCAAGCCUCUGCUGCUUUCUAUUUGAGUUCUUAAGAGUCUUAUAAUCAACACUAGAGCUAGGAAAAGAGCAAAAGCUAACAAAGUUGUUAAACUUAGGUCGGCACUCGCACAACUCUCUCAUCGUGAAAGGAAUCAUAGCAAAAAACUAAUGAAGCAUUAGAACAAAACUUUAUCUUUUAUUAUAAUGUAAGAAAUUGCUCCAAUCAUCUUUGUUUUCAAGAUA
rnacentral:lncRNA from 1 species